GAUCUCUCUGGUAUCAAUCAAGCUCACAUUUCCCUCUUACCCAAGAAGGAAACUCCUCUGGAGUUGCGUGAUUAUAGGCCAAUUUCUAUUGUGCAUAGUGUGCCAAAGCUUGCUAGCAAGGUCCUUGCCCGAAGGCUCCAACUACAGAUCCCCGCUCUGGUUCACUCUUUACAGUUUAGAUUCAUCAAUGACCGGUCUAUCGUGAAGAAUUUUGCUAUGGCUGCUGACAUGGUUCAAACAGCUCAUAAGCCGAAGCUUCCGAUGGGGGUUCUCAAGCUGGACUUCCAGAAGGCGUUCGACACUGUCAGCUAG
rnacentral:rRNA from 1 species